rnacentral:lncRNA from 1 species
AGCAAUCUACACACAUACACUCACACACCCCGUCCCUUUCCCUCCUCGCAGAAGCCGAGGAGAUGCCAUGUGAGGGUGCAGCGAGGAGUUGGGCUGUCUAAAAGCAAAGAAAGAGAUUGCAUCAGACACCGCAUCUGCUGACACCUUGUUCUUGGACUUCCAGCUUCCAAAACCGCGAGAAAUAAAUGUCUGUGUCUAAACCCCAACCCUACCACCUCAACUGCCGUGUGUGGUGUUUUGUGAUGGCAGCCCCAGCUGACUGAGACACCUGGUUAGACCGGAAUAAGCAGUACCUGAGUCCCUUAAGAGUGGCCAAAGAAGAAAGAAUCCACUGAGUUGACAUUCCAGUUCAGCUGCAAUCGGUAGCAGUCACCAUUGAACAUCCUUGAAGCAAUUCUUCCAAAAUUACCUUGCAUCAAAGACUGCACAAGAACUGCUCUAAGCGGAAGGACUGAUGUCGGCAACCAGGGUUCCACCAGGGGCUGCAGACAGCCCUUGACCUUCAGGUGGGAAGGUGUCACUGAGUUCAGACCCUCUGGCAAUCCCUAGCUAUCAACAUUUUGAUAAGAAAAUAAGUGGAAAGGUAGAACUGGAAGAUUUUGCUGAAAGAUUGGACAUGGCAUUCAGAGAAACAGAGGUUUUAAUGACAAACUCCAAGUUUUUGGCUGGAGCAACUGGAAGAAUGAGGUUGCCAUGAACCGAAAAGAGAGAUUGCAGAAGUAACCAAAUUUACUCACGUAGGCCAGGAAUUUCUAUGACGUGUUCCAAAUUCAGCCUCUCACUGAACACUUCCAGAGCAAGGCAACAUAAACAUCUGCAAGAAGAACAUUGUGUGAGAAAUAUCAAGUGAGAGUGGAAGAGUCUGCGGAGGGCCUCCCUGGGGCUCACCUGUGCUUUUGCCUGAGCUUCACCGUGUCAAGGAUGCAGCACUUUUUCCCUCUGGAGGAAGCAGCUUUCACCUUGGAAGAAUCUUGACCUUGCCAUUCAAAGUCACCAGACAGGGAAUCUGCCAGUGCCUUGAUCUUAGACUUCCCAGCUUCUGUAACUGUGAGCAAUAAAUGUAUGCUGCUUAUAAACUA